UACGGAGGGGGCUAGCGUUGUUCGGAAUUACUGGGCGUAAAGCGCACGUAGGCGGCUUUGUAAGUUAGAGGUGAAAGCCUGGUGCUCAACACCAGAACUGCCUUUAAGACUGCAUCGCUUGAAUCAUGGAGAGGCGGGUGGAAUUCCGAGUGUAGAGGUGAAAUUCGUAGAUAUUCGGAAGAACACCAGUGGCGAAGGCGGCCCGCUGGACUGGUAUUGACGCUGAGGUGCGAAAGCGUGGGGAGCGAACAGG
rnacentral:rRNA from 1 species